rnacentral:rRNA from 1 species
GACGAACGCUGGCGGCGUGCUUAACACAUGCAAGUCGAGCGGUAAGGCCCUUUCGGGGGUACACGAGCGGCGAACGGGUGAGUAACACGUGGGUGACCUGCCCUCAGCUCUGGGAUAAGCCUGGGAAACCGGGUCUAAUACUGGAUAUGACUCCAUGACGCAUGUUGUGGGGUGGAAAGCCUUGUGCGGACUGAGGAUGGGCCCGCGGCCUAUCAGCUUGUUGGUGGGGUGANGGCCUACCAAGGCGACGACGGGUAGCCGGCCUCGAGAGGGCGACCGGCCACACUGGGACUGAGACACGGCCCAGACUCCUACGGGAGGCAGCAGUGGGGAAUCUUGCGCAAUGGGCGAAAGCCUGACGCAGCGACGCCGCGUGAGGGAUGACGGCCUCGGUUGUAAC